GUCUACUGCUAUGCCACCCUGAACAUGACAAAUCUCAUCUGAUCUCAGAAGCUAAGCAGGGUUGGGCCUGGUUAGUACUUGGAUGGGAGACCACCUAGGAAGACCAAGUGCUAUAGGCA
rnacentral:rRNA from 1 species